ensembl:snRNA U6 U6 spliceosomal RNA
GCGUUCUCUGUGGCAGCCCGUAUCCUAAAAUUGGAAUGAUACAGAGAAGAUUAGCACGGCCCCUGCACAAGGAUGCACAUAGAUGGCAAAAGGAACGUUGUAGACGUAA